GAGGCAACACACUUAAUAGGAAAGCAUGACUUUAUUUUGGCAUGAUUCAUCUUCAAAUCAGGUAUUCACCUGGUAUCUAAGCUAGUGUAAUAAGAAUAAAUACAAGCUUGAGGCAAUAAACGAACUCUGGGAAACUAUAAAUGCUGGCACGCCUUUACUUCUUAUGAAAGCCAACCACCUGAAUGAUUAACUAAACCACCUCAAAGCAAGAAGAGAAAUAUUUAUUGGAAUUUCAGAUGUAAAAUCUUAUCACAGAAACAGCAAAUGCAAUCCCCGUUUAGUUCAAUGUACCAUAUCUUAAUUCCAAAAGGUUUCCUUCAUGGAAAGAAAAAAAUAAGCACUUCAGAUAUGUUACAGAAAUUAAAUCUCCAGUAACCAGUGACUUCAUAAUGCCAAAGUUUGUGAAGAGUGAAAUUAUUUUCUUCUAUUAGUGUAUGUUUUAAUAAAUAAAUGAUUUUUCUUUUCAUUUGGCAAGGCAGGUGAAAGAAGCAUAGAAUGCAACUUAGGAAAAUAGAGCCAAAUCAAAUUUAUAUAAAUGAACAAAAAAGCCUCCACUGUUGACCAAUAUUUG
rnacentral:lncRNA from 1 species